GUUAUGCUACUACGUUGGUGACUGCUGGCAUAGUUUAUGAUCUAUGCUUGAUUUAUUAGGGCAUUCGCUUGAGUUUUUUGAAAGUAAACCGAGCCUGGACUCGGAAAUAGACAUUUAACUCGCGAGUACCCACCUGGUUUUACCAGGUCGUAAACUACGGUAAGACGGCGUAGCGGUUAACUA
rnacentral:other from 1 species